rnacentral:rRNA from 1 species
UGAAUACGAGACGCUACGGCGUCGAAGCAGUCUAUGUCAUACUUCCAAGAAAAGCUCGCAAUGUCAUAAACAAAUAAUGCCUGUACCAUAACCGACACAGGUGGGUAGGUAGAGUAUACUAAGGGGCGCGAGAUAACUCUCUCUAAGGAACUCGGCAAAAUGACUCCGUAACUUCGGGAGAAGGAGUGCCUUAUUUAUAAGGUUGCAAUAACAAGAUCCAAGCAACUGUUUAUCAAAAACACAGGUCUCCGCUAAGUCGUAAGACGAUGUAUGGGGGCUGACGCCUGCCCAGUGCCAGAAGGUUAAAGAAGUUGGUUAGCAUUCGCGAAGCUGAUAACUGAAGCCCUGGUGAACGGCGGCCGUAACUAUAACGGUCCUAAGGUAGCGAAAUUCCUUGUCGGGUAAGUUCCGACCCGCACGAAAGGCGUAAUGAUUUGGAUACUGUCUCGGAGAGGGGCUCGGUGAAAUAGACUUGUCUGUGAAGAUGCGGACUACCUGCACCUGGACAGAAAGACCCUAUGAAGCUUUACUGUAACUUGAAAUUGAAAUUGGACUUUAUUUGCGCAGCAUAGGUGGGAGGCGUUGAGAGUAUUCUUGCGGGAAUAUUGGAGCCAUCAGUGAGAUACCACUCUUGUAAUGUUAGAUUUCUAACUUUGGAUCAUUAUCUGGUCAAAGAACAGUUUCAGGCGGGCAGUUUGACUGGGGCGGUCGCCUCCCAAAUGGUAACGGAGGCGUACAAAGGUUUCCUCUGAACGGGUAGAAAUCGUAUCUAGAGGGUAAAGGCAUAAGGAAGCUUGACUGUGAGACCUACAAGUCGAGCAGGGACGAAAGUCGGUCUUAGUGAUCUGACGGUGCUGAGUGGAAAGGCCGUCACUCAACGGAUAAAAGUUACUCUAAGGAUAACAGGCUGAUCUCCCCCAAGAGUUCACAUCGACGGGGAGGUUUGGCACCUCGAUGUCGGCUCAUCGCAUCCUGGGGCGGUAGUACGUCCCAAGGGUUGGGCUGUUCGCCCAUGAAAGCGGUACGCGAGCUGGGUUCAGAACGUCGUGAGACAGUUCGGUCCAUAUCCGGUGUAGGCGUUAGAAUAUUGAGAGGAGCCUUCUUUAGUACGAGAGGACCGAGAGGGACAUACCUCUGGUGUACCAGUUAUCGUGCCAACGGUAAACGCUGGGUAGCUAUGUAUGGAGAGGAUAACCGCUGAAAGCAUCUAAGUGGGAAGCCCACCUCAAGAUAAGUAUUCUCAU